GUGGGGAAUAUUCCGCAAUGGACGAAAGUCUGACGGAGCAACGCCGCGUUAGUGAUGAAGGUUUUCGGACUGUAAAGCUCUGUUGUUUAGGACGAAAGUGCCUGUUGCAAAUAGUUACAGGUAUUGACGGUACUGAACGAGGAAGCCACGGCUAACUACGUGCCAGCAGCCGCGGUAAUACGUAGGUGGCAAGCGUUGUCCGGAAUUAUUGGGCGUAAAGAGCAUGUAGGCGGGAAUCUAAGUCUGUUGUGAAAAUGCGGGGCUCAACCCCGUAUUGCGAUGGAAACUGGGUUUCUUGAGUGCAGGAGAGGAAAGGGGAAUUCCCAGUGUAGCGGUGAAAUGCGUAGAUAUUGGGAGGAACACCAGUGGCGAAGGCGCCUUUCUGGACUGUGUCUGACGCUGAGAUGCGAAAGCCAGGGUAGCGAACGGGAUUAGAAACCCGGGUAGUCC
rnacentral:rRNA from 1 species